UACAGAGGUCUCAAGCGUUGUUCGGAUUCAUUGGGCGUAAAGGGUGUGUAGGUGGCGCCGUAAGUCGGGUGUGAAAUUUCGGAGCUUAACUCCGAAACUGCAUUCGAUACUGCGGUGCUUGAGGACUGGAGAGGAGACUGGAAUUCAUGGUGUAGCAGUGAAAUGCGUAGAGAUCAUGAGGAAGACCCAGUGGCGAAGGCGGGUCUCUGGACAGUUCCUGACACUGAGACACAAAGGCCAGGGGAGCAAACGGG
rnacentral:rRNA from 1 species